AUUGAACGCUGGCGGCAUGCCUUACACAUGCAAGUCGAACGGUAACAGGUCAAGCUGACGAGUGGCGAACGGGUGAGUAAUAUAUCGGAACGUGCCCAGUCGUGGGGGAUAACGUAGCGAAAGCUACGCUAAUACCGCAUACGAUCUACGGAUGAAAGCGGGGGAUGGCAAGACCUCGCGCGUUGGGAGCGCCGGAUACCAGAUUGGGUUGUUGGUGGGGUAAAAGUCCACCAAGCCUGCGACCUGUAGCUGGUCUGAGAGGACGACCAGCCACACUGGAACUGAGACACGGUCCAGACUCCUACGGGAGGCAGCAGUGGGGAAUUUUGGACAAUGGACGCAAGUCUGAUCCAGCAAUGCCGCGUGCAGGACGAAGGCCUUCGGGUUGUAAACUGCUUUUGUACGGAACGAAACGGUGAGCUCUAAUACAGUUUGCUAAUGACGGUACCGUAAGAAUAAGCACCGGCUAACUACGUGCCAGCCGCCGCGGUAA
rnacentral:rRNA from 1 species